UGCGUAGGUGGUUUCUUAAGUUAGAGGUGAAAGGCUACGGCUCAACCGUAGUAAGCCUUUGAAACUGGGAAACUUGAGUGCAGGAGAGGAGAGUGGAAUUCCUAGUGUAGCGGUGAAAUGCGUAGAUAUUAGGAGGAACACCAGUUGCGAAGGCGGCUCUCUGGACUGUAACUGACACUGAGGCACGAAAGCGUGGGGAGCAAACAAG
rnacentral:rRNA from 1 species